rnacentral:rRNA from 1 species
UACAGAGGUGGCAAGCGUUGUUCGGAAUUACUGGGCGUAAAGGGCGCGUAGGCGGCCUUCUAAGUCAGACGUGAAAUCCCCAGGCUUAACUUGGGAACUGCGUCUGAUACUGGAGGGCUUGAGUGCGGGAGAGGGAUGUGGAAUUCCAGGUGUAGCGGUGAAAUGCGUAGAUAUCUGGAGGAACACCGGUGGCGAAGGCGGCAUCCUGGACCGGUAUUGACGCUGAUGCGCGAAAGCCAGGGGAGCAAACGGG